ensembl:snRNA U6 U6 spliceosomal RNA
GUGCUUGCUUUGGCAGCGCACAUACUAAAAUUGGAACAAUACAGAGAUUAGCAUGGCCCCUGCACAAGGAUGACACACAAAUUUGUGAAGCAUUCUAUAUUUUA